AUUGAACGCUGGCGGCAUGCCUAACACAUGCAAGUCGAACGGUAACUGGUAGCAGCUUGCUGCUUUGCUGACGAGUGACGGAGGGGUGUGUCAUGCCUGGGAGCCUGACUGAGGCAGGGGGCUAACUACUGGAAGCUGUAGCUAGUACCCAAUAACUACUCAAGAACAACGAUAGUGACCUUCGGGUCUCUUGGCAUCGGAUGUGUCCAGUUCGGAUUAGCUAGUAGGUGGGGUAACGGCAGACCGAGGCGACGAUCCCUAGCUGAAUUGAGAGGAUGACCAGCCACACUGGGACUGAGACACGGUCCAAACUCCUACGGGAGGCAGCAGUGGGGAAUAUUGCACAAUGGGCGCAAGCCUGAUGCAGCCAUGCCGCGUGUAUGAAGAAGGUCUUCGGGUUGUAAAAUACUUUCGGCGGGGAGGAAGGUAGUAAAGUUAAUACGUUUACUCAUUGACGUUACCCGCAGAAAAAGCACCGGCUAACUCCGUG
rnacentral:rRNA from 1 species